AUUGAACGCUGGCGGCAGGCCUAACACAUGCAAGUCGAACGGUAACAGGAAGAAGCUUGCUUCUUUGCUGACGAGUGGCGGACGGGUGAGUAAUGUCUGGGAAAUUGCCUGAUGGAGGGGGAUAACUACUGGAAACGGUAGCUAAUACCGCAUAACGUCGCAAGACCAAAGAGGGGGACCUUCGGGCCUCUUGCCAUCGGAUGUGCCCAGAUGGGAUUAGCUAGUAGGUGGGGUAACGGCUCACCUAGGCGACGAUCCCUAGCUGGUCUGAGAGGAUGACCAGCCACACUGGAACUGAGACACGGACCAGACUCCUACGGGAGGCAGCAGUGGGGAAUAUUGCACAAUGGGCGCAAGCCUGAUGCAGCCAUGCCGCGUGUAUGAAGAAGGCCUUCGGGUUGUAAAGUACUUUCAGCGGGGAGGAAGGGAGUAAAGUUAAUACCUUUGCUCAUUGACGUUACCCGCAGAAGAAGCACCGGCUAACUCCGUG
rnacentral:rRNA from 1 species